GACGAACGCUGGCGGCGUGCUUAACACAUGCAAGUCGAACGGAAAGGCCUCUUUCGGGGGGUACUCGAGUGGCGAACGGGUGAGUAACACGUGAGUAACCUGCCCUUGACUUUGGGAUAACUUCAGGAAACUGGGGCUAAUACCGGAUAGGAGCUCCUGCUGCAUGGUGGGGGUUGGAAAGUUUCGGCGGUUGGGGAUGGACUCGCGGCUUAUCAGCUUGUUGGUGGGGUAGUGGCUUACCAAGGCUUUGACGGGUAGCCGGCCUGGGAGGGGGACCGGCCCCAUGGGCACUGAGUUCCGGCCCGGCCCCCGCCGGGGGGCGGCGGGGGGGAUUUUGGCACAAGGGGGGGAGCCCCGAUGCCGCACCGCCGGGUGCGGGAUGCCGGCCUUGGGGUUGUAACCCGCUUUCCCUCAUGCCGAAGCUUUGGGUGACGGUAGUGGGUAAAGAAGCCCCGCCUACCUCCGUG
rnacentral:rRNA from 1 species